GUAAAGGUCAAGUAUGGUUCUUAUCACCCUUUUAGAUGUCAACUCGGAUGUAGUUGACCAACACAAUGAGAAGAAGGUGCUGAUCAUGUUCUUGCUUGUGAUCUUUAGUCUGGCUGUCAAUGUAUUAGUUUGAUAUUCCAGUGGACCACAUGUACUGUCAGCAAAGCAAUUAGCUCCAGUGAUUCAGUAGCAGUAUCACAUAAGUUGCUAGAGCACGUGAUUUUACCAAAAAGUUAUGUGAUG